rnacentral:rRNA from 1 species
UUUGAUCCUGGCUCAGGAUGAACGCUGGCGGUAUGCUUAACACAUGCAAGUCGAACGGAAUGCUUCGGCAAAUCUAGCUUUAGGUUCGGGACAACAGUGGGAAACUGCUGCUAAUACCGAAUGUGCCUUUAUAGGUGAAAGAUUAAUUGCCUGAAGAAGAGCUCGCGUCUGAUUAGCUAGUUGGUGAGGUAAAGGCUCACCAAGGCGACGAUCAGUAACUGGUCUGAGAGGAUGACCAGUCACACUGGGACUGAGACACGGCCCAGACUCCUACGGGAGGCAGCAGUGGGGAAUUUUCCGCAAUGGGCGAAAGCCUGACGGAGCAAUACCGCGUGAGGGAGGAAGGCUCUUGGGUUGUAAACCUCUUUUCUCAGGGAAGAACAAAAUGACGGUACCUGAGGAAUAAGCAUCGGCUAACUCCGUGCCAGCAGCCGCGGUAAUACGGAGGAUGCAAGCGUUAUCCGGAAUUAUUGGGCGUAAAGCGUCCGCAGGUGGCAAUUCAAGUCUGCUGUUAAAGGUUCUGGCUCAACCAGAAACAGGCAGUGGAAACUGAAUAGCUAGAGUGCGGUAGGGGCAGAGGGAAUUCCCAGUGUAGCGGUGAAAUGCGUAGAGAUUGGGAAGAACACCGGUGGCGAAAGCGCUCUGCUAGGCCGUAACUGACACUCAUGGACGAAAGCUAGGGGAGCGAAUGGGAUUAGAUACCCCAGUAGUCCUAGCCGUAAACGAUGGAUACUAG